GAUGAACGCUGGCGGCGUGCCUAAUACAUGCAAGUCGAGCGAACAGACGAGGAGCUUGCUCCUCUGACGUUAGCGGCGGACGGGUGAGUAACACGUGGAUAACCUACCUAUAAGACUGGGAUAACUUCGGGAAACCGGAGCUAAUACCGGAGAAUAUAUUGAACCGCAGGGUUCAAUAGUGAAAGACGGUUUUGCUGUCACUUAUAGAUGGAUCCGCGCCGCAUUAGCUAGUUGUUAAGGUAACGGCUUACCAAGGCAACGAUGCGUAGCCGACCUGAGAGGGUGAUCGGCCACACUGGAACUGAGACACGGUCCAGACUCCUACGGGAGGCAGCAGUAGGGAAUCUUCCGCAAUGGGCGAAAGCCUGACGGAGCAACGCCGCGUGAGUGAUGAAGGUCUUCGGAUCGUAAAACUCUGUUAUUAGGGAAGAACCAAUGUGUAAGUAACUAUGCACGUCUUGACGGUACCUAAUCAGAAAGCCACGGCUAACUACGUG
rnacentral:rRNA from 1 species